rfam:Schistocephalus solidus strain NST_G2 genome assembly, scaffold: SSLN_scaffold0005684
GAGCCCGUGGCUCAACGGUAGAGCGUUCGACUCAAAUACCAAAUGUCGCGGGUUCGAAUCCCCCGUGGUCC